UACGUAGGGGGCAAGCGUUGUCCGGAUUUACUGGGCGUAAAGCGCGCGUAGGCGGAACGAUCAGUCCGGUCUGAAAGCCCCCGGCUCAACCGGGGAGGGUGGCUGGAACUGUCGUUCUUGAGGGCGAGAGAGGAGAGUGGAAUUCCUGGUGUAGCGGUGAAAUGCGCAGAUAUCAGGAAGAACACCCGUAGGCUAAGGCGGCUCCUCUAGUAGCGGGUACUGACGCUGAGACGCGAAAGCGUGGGGAGCGAACAG
rnacentral:rRNA from 1 species